rnacentral:lncRNA from 1 species
UUAGUUUGGAGGCGAUUGGCAUUGGGCCGCCAUGGGCGGCGGAGCGACCAUCGAUUCAAAUGAAUGUUCGAUGACUCUGGUCGAUAUUCGAGCUAUGUCUAUGACAGAAAUGGAAAGAGGAGGUCGAGGAGGUGGGGUGGUAUUCUUUUGGAGGCUAUUGGAGCAUCGCCACCGAUAGAGGUGAUUUCCGGCCGGCGGCGGACGACAGAGAGACGGUG